rnacentral:rRNA from 1 species
GUGCACCAGGCGAGAAUACUUUACAAUGUGCGAAAGCACGAUAAGGGAACUCUGAGUGCCUCCUAAGGAGGCUGUUCAGGUGUCUAAAAAGCACCUGGAGUAAGGGCUGGGUAAGACCGGUGCCAGCCGCCGCGGUAACACCGGCAGCCCAGGUGGUAGCCACUUUUAUUGGGUCUAAAGCGUCCGUAGCCGGUUGAGUAAGUUCCUUGGGAAAUUUGGCUGCUCAACAGUCAAGCUUCCAGGGAAUACUGCUCGACUUGGGGACUGGGAGAGGUCAGAGGUACUCCAGGGGUAGGGGUGAAAUCCAUUAAUCCCUGGGGGACCACCGGUAGCGAAGGCGUCUGACCAGACCAGGUCCGACGGUGAGGGACGAAGGCUAGGGUCGCGAACCGGAUUAGAUACCCCUGUAGU